UCUACAAUCUUUCCCUCCAGGACACUCUUCAGAGCUACAGGCUUGACUCACUUCUGCCUUGGACUUGUGCAGCACAAAUCCCUUGUUCCAAUCAGCUCCCUCAUUGGCCUUACGGAUGUUGAACUCCACCUUGGCCCGCUCCUUGUCCUGCAUGGCCUU